rfam:Sorghum bicolor cultivar BTx623 chromosome 6, whole genome shotgun sequence.
GUAGUUGGACUCACAUCAAUCCACAUGUGUGUUGAGGUGGAUUGGAGUGAAAUUUGAACUAAAUUCUACACCAAUCCACACCAACACAUAUGGAUUGAAGUGAAUCCGAGA